rnacentral:rRNA from 1 species
AACCUGGUUGAUCCUGCCAGUAGUCAUAUGCUUGUCUCAAAGAUUAAGCCAUGCAUGUCUAAGUAUAAGCGACUAUACUGUGAAACUGCGAAUGGCUCAUUAAAUCAGUUAUGGUUUAUUUGAUGGUACCUUGCUACUUGGAUAACCGUAGUAAUUCUAGAGCUAAUACAUGCAGGAGUUCCCGACUCACGGAGGGAUGUAUUUAUUAGAUAAGAAACCAAACCGGUCUCCGGUUGCGUGCUGAGUCAUAAUAACUGCUCGAAUCGCACGGCUCUACGCCGGCGAUGGUUCAUUCAAAUUUCUGCCCUAUCAGCUUUCGAUGGUAGGAUAGAGGCCUACCAUGGCGUUAACGGGUAACGGAGAAUUAGGGUUCGAUUCCGGAGAGGGAGCCUGAGAAAUGGCUACCACAUCCAAGGAAGGCAGCAGGCGCGUAAAUUGCCCGAAUCCUGACACAGGGAGGUAGUGACAAGAAAUAACAAUACAGGGCUAUUUUAGUCUUGUAAUUGGAAUGAGUACAAUUUACAUCUCUUCACGAGGAUCAAUUGGAGGGCAAGUCUGGU